AGAGUUUGAUCCUGGCUCAGAAUGAACGCUGGCGGCGUGCUUAACACAUGCAAGUCGCACGAGAACGCUUCAGCUUGCUGGAGCUAGUAAAGUGGCGCACGGGUGAGUAACGCGUGGGUAAUCUACCUCCGAAUUGGGGAUAACACUGCGAAAGCGGUGCUAAUACCGAAUGACAUCUCAGGGACCUCGGUCUCUAAGAUCAAAGGUGGCCUCUACAUGUAAGCUACUGUUUGGAGAUGAGCCCGCGUACCAUUAGCUAGUUGGUAGGGUAAUGGCCUACCAAGGCUUCGAUGGUUAGCUGGUCUGAGAGGAUGAUCAGCCACACUGGAACUGACACACGGUCCAGACUCCUACGGGAGGCAGCAGUGAGGAAUUUUGCGCAAUGGGGGAAACCCUGACGCAGCAACGCCACGUGAGUGAUGAAGGCUUUCGGGUCGUAAAGCUCUGUCAAGUGGGAAGAAUAUGCCCUGUGAUAAUACCAUGGGGCACUGACGGUACCACUGAAGGAAGCACCGGCUAACUCCGUGCCAGCAGCCGCGGUAAUACGGGGGGUGCAAGCGUUAUUCGGAAUCAUUGGGCGUAAAGGGCGCGUAGGCGGCCCCUUAAGUCAGAUGUGAAAGCCCUCAGCUUAACUGAGGAAGUGCAUUUGAAACUAAGGGGCUUGAGUAUGGGAGAGGGAAGCGGAAUUCCUGGUGUAGCGGUGAAAUGCGUAGAUAUCAGGAGGAACACCGGUGGCGAAGGCGGCUUCCUGGACCAAUACUGACGCUGAGGCGCGAAGGCGUGGGGAGCAAACAGGAUUAGAUACCCUGGUAGUCCACGCAGUAAACUGUGAACACUAGGUGUAGCGGGUAUUGACCCCUGCUGUGCCGAAGCUAACGCAUUAAGUGUUCCGCCUGGGAAGUACGGUCGCAAGGCUAAAACUCAAAGGAAUUGACGG
rnacentral:rRNA from 1 species